rfam:Omsk hemorrhagic fever virus, complete genome
CCCCCGCACCAUGGAAGGCCAAACAUGGUGCAUGAAGGGAAAG